UACGUAGGGGGCGAGCGUUGUCCGGAAUCAUUGGGCGUAAAGCGCGUGUAGGCGGUUCAGUAAGUCUGCUGUGAAAGUCCAGGGCUCAACCCUGGGAUGCCGGUGGAUACUGCUGAACUAGAGUGCGGAAGAGGCGAGUGGAAUUCCCGGUGUAGCGGUGAAAUGCGCAGAUAUCGGGAGGAACACCAAUUGCGAAGGCAGCUCGCUGGGACGUGACUGACGCUGAGACGCGAAAGCGUGGGGAGCGAACAGG
rnacentral:rRNA from 1 species